rnacentral:rRNA from 1 species
UCCGUGCCCCCAGCCGCGGUAAUACGGAAGUGGCAAGCGUUAUCCGGAAUUAUUGGGCGUAAAGCGUCCGCAGGCGGCCCUACAAGUCUGCUGUUAAAAAGUGGAGCUUAACUCCAUCAUGGCAGUGGAAACUGUUGGGCUUGAGUGUGGUAGGGGCAGAGGGAAUUCCCGGUGUAGCGGUGAAAUGCGUAGAUAUCGGGAAGAACACCAGUGGCGAAGGCGCUCUGCUGGGCCAUCACUGACGCUCAUGGACGAAAGCCAGGGGAGCGAAAGGGAUUAGAUACCCCUGUAGUCCUGGCCGUAAACGAUGAACACUAGGUGUCGGGGGAAUCGACCCCUCCGGUGUCGUAACCAACGCGUUAAGUGUUCCGCCUGGGGAGUACGCACGCAAGUGUGAAACUCAAAUGAAUUGAC